UACGUAGGGGGCUAGCGUUGUCCGGAAUUAUUGGGCGUAAAGAGCUCGUAGGCGGUUUGUCGCGUCUGCUAGUGAAAACUCGGGGCUUAACCCCGGGCUGCAGUGGGUACGGGCAGACUAGAGUGCGGUAGGGGAGACUGGAAUUCCUGGUGUAGCGGUGAAAUGCGCAGAUAAUCGGGAGGAACACCUAUGGCGAAGGCAGCUCGCUGG
rnacentral:rRNA from 1 species